rnacentral:lncRNA from 1 species
UGGUGGAGCGUUUAGGAGUCUCAACAUGUAAAGGGUGGUUGGAGUUUCAAAGAGCUGAGAAAGAACUUGACGAGGGAUGGCAGAGAGGUACGAAGUUCAGGAAAGUGAUGUCGUGAAGCCAAGGGAGAGAGAUGUGAGAAGAGAAUGGCAACAUGUUGAAAGUUGCACGGAGGUCAAAUAAAAGGGAAGACACCUCCAUACAUUUAGGAAAAAGCUGGAGGCAGAAACGAGACUGUAGUGCGUUGGAGAGUGAAUGGGAGAGAGAUGAACAUAGUGUAUAUGCUGGCCUAAGAAAGGCAAGCAAGAGAUUGGGCAGGACCCAGAGGAGAUGUUGGAUUGUGGGAGGUGUCUGCAUUCCUUCAAAAGCAGACCUUGAAACAGAAUUGAGUGCAAGUGGUUUAUUUUGGAGAUGAUCCCAGGAAACACCAAUAUGGGUGGCGGGUGAAGAAAGGAGACAUCAGUAAAGAAUAUUUCAGCAAGCAAGAUGAAUGUGGGAAUAUGGAGCUUAACUUUAUUGGGUAACCCUGGAAGACAGUAUGGACUGUGUAUUCAAAGUUAAUUCCCCAUUAACUUUGGGGAGCUGGGAUAUAUUUAUCCACCAAUUUUAGUCAUUGGUUGAGCUUCCGUUCCUUGGGGAUUGGGGAAGCAUUAAUUUCCCAGGCACCUUUAGCAGGCCAUGUGCAUGGGGAAAGGAGGCUCUGGCAGCCAGAUAAAGUCCUCACGUAAAAAGACAGGAGAUGGCAGUUGGAAGUUGGAUGAAAGUGAUGAAAAUGGUAAGAACUGAGGGGCUACAGAUGGGGACACUGAAAGCAUCUGUUGCAGGAGGGAUUUAGUGUUUUUCUAGCCUGAAAAGAAUGUAUCAUGAAUUGAAUGGUGAGGAUGCAUGAGAGGGAUGGGUUGAAGGUAUAAGUGAGAGGGGGGAUAAAUGAUGCAGAGUGGUUCAAGAGGAGGGGGAAGGGAGUGUGAGUAAGAAUGCAAUUGAAGGGCUUUGUUGAAAUGAUAUGAGGUUGUGGUUGGUAAGUAGGAGGCUGGGAUUUAUAUUCUAGCAGAAAUUCAGCAUAUCAUGAUCCUGGGUGUGGGUGGCUGAAAUGGUAGGAAAGUGAAUUCCAUUGGAGCUGGCAAGUCAAGCACCAGGGAGGUGAAGAUGUGGACAUGGGUUCAUUAACAUUGGAAAUCAAAGUCCCUAAGGACUUGAGGGUGGAGAGAAAGACUAAAUCAGCUGCCAAAGUUAUUAGUGUUAUUAAAAGUCACAAGGUACCCCAGUGAGCCAAGAGUGUGUAUCAACCAUUGGGUGCUAGACCAGGAAGGAGUCAGAAGAACAAAUCAGUCUGAAGAGUCUGAUUAUUAUUUAAUGGGUGAGUCUAGCUGGAAGUUUUGAAAGGAGGUUAGAGAACAGAGCUGAAAAGUGGCAGCAAGAGUCAAAUUCAAGGAGCAGGCAGGAGGCCAGGGACAAAAAAUAGGAUCAGGAACCAGAGAAAUCAAAUACAGUUUAGGAAGCCGAGUUCAAGAUUGGUUCAAGUUUAUGGUGUAGGUUGAAGGCUGUGGAUAAGGAGAGAAAAUAAGGACGCAUGUUUUUUAGGGGGAUCCAUGUGGGCAAAGAGAUGGACAGCAAGCCCAAAGCCCUGUCCCUACUUGGUUUUCCCUUAUUCCCUGAGCCUCACUCCUGCUGAAAUCCAGGAGUCCAUGGGAUCCAGUUUGAAGGUCACUGAGGAAUUGGAGUGAGUUCAGACUCUGGAGUCAGACUGACCUGGGUUCAGAUCUCUGCUCAAUCUCUUCUAGCUGUGAAUCUUGAGGAAGUUUUUCACCUGCAAGUGUAAUUGAACCUAUAUUGAAGGAUUGUUCUCUGUUCUUGCUCAAAGAAUGGUUUGCAUUACUUUAAGAUGACAAUGAUACACAUUCAUGAAGCAACGUUACGUAGGGCUCUAAGAGUGUGUAAUAGGGGCAUUUUACCCAGUCAGGAGACCAAGGGAGGCUGCCCUGAGGAGGUGACAUUUGAGCUAAGAUGGGCGGAAUGAAAAGGAGACACUGAAGAAUGAGCUGUAGAAGGAACAGAGAGUUAGAAGCUAGAAAAGUACAUGGAGAACCAUACAACUGUGGUGUCAUAAAAGACUUAUCUUCUGCUGUGUUACCCUGGUUGACUCCAGUUUGGCUUCUACUCCAUGGAAGAGGUUUUACAUUUCAUCUGGCCCUGUGAAUGUGGACUCCGUUUCUCCCCUCCCUGUGCUGACAUUUCUUCCAUUUUGUCCCCCUGAGUGGUGCAAGACAGGAACUUGGAUGGAGCCAGAGGCCAUUAUCCUUAGCA